rnacentral:rRNA from 1 species
CCGGCGAUGUCCGAAUGGGGAAACCCAGUGCAAUUCGUUGCACUAUCGUUAACUGAAUACAUAGGUUAACGAGGCGAACCGGGGGAACUGAAACAUCUAAGUACCCCGAGGAAAAGAAAUCAACCGAGAUUCCCCCAGUAGCGGCGAGCGAACGGGGAGCAGCCCAGAGUCUGAAUCAGCUUGUGUGUUAGUGGAACGGUCUGGAAAGUCCGACGGUACAGGGUGAUAGUCCCGUACACCAAAAUGCACAGGCUGUGAACUCGAAGAGUAGGGCGGGACACGUGGUAUCCUGUCUGAAUAUGGGGGGACCAUCCUCCAAGGCUAAAUACUCCUGACUGACCGAUAGUGAACCAGUACCGUGAGGGAAAGGCGAAAAGAACCCCGGCGAGGGGAGUGAAAAAGAACCUGAAACCGUGUACGUACAAGCAGUGGGAGCACCUUCGGGUGUGACUGCGUACCUUUUGUAUAAUGGGUCAGCGACUUAUAUUCUGUAGCAAGGUUAACCGUAUAGGGGAGCCGCAGGGAAACCGAGUCUUAACUGGGCGUUAAGUUGCAGGGUAUAGACCCGAAACCCGGUGAUCUAGCCAUGGGCAGGUUGAAGGUUGGGUAACACUAACUGGAGGACCGAACCGACUAAUGUUGAAAAAUUAGCGGAUGACUUGUGGCUGGGGGUGAAAGGCCAAUCAAACCGGGAGAUAGCUGGUUCUCCCCGAAAGCUAUUUAGGUAGCGCCUCGUGAAUUCAUCUUCGGGGGUAGAGCACUGUUUCGGCUAGGGGGUCAUCCCGACUUACCAACCCGAUGCAAACUACGAAUACCGAAGAAUGUUAUCACGGGAGACACACGGCGGGUGCUAACGUCCGUCGUGAAGAGGGAAACAACCCAGACCGCCAGCUAAGGUCCCAAAGUCAUGGUUAAGUGGGAAACGAUGUGGGAAGGCACAGACAGCCAGGAUGUUGGCUUAGAAGCAGCCAUCAUUUAAAGAAAGCGUAAUAGCUCACUGGUCGAGUCGGCCUGCGCGGAAGAUGUAACGGGGCUAAACCAUGCACCGAAGCUGCGGCAGCGACACUAUGUGUUGUUGGGUAGGGGAGCGUUCUGUAAGCCUGCGAAGGUGACCUGUGAGGGUUGCUGGAGGUAUCAGAAGUGCGAAUGCUGACAUAAGUAACGAUAAAGCGGGUGAAAAGCCCGCUCGCCGGAAGACCAAGGGUUCCUGUCCAACGUUAAUCGGGGCAGGGUGAGUCGACCCCUAAGGCGAGGCCGAAAGGCGUAGUCGAUGGGAAACAGGUUAAUAUUCCUGUACUUGGUGUUACUGCGAAGGGGGGACGGAGAAGGCUAUGUUAGCCGGGCGACGGUUGUCCCGGUUUAAGCAUGUAGGCUGGUUGUCCAGGCAAAUCCGGAUAAUCAAGGCUGAGGUGUGAUGACGAGGCACUACGGUGCUGAAGUAACAAAUGCCCUGCUUCCAGGAAAAGCCUCUAAGCAUCAGGUAACAUUAAAUCGUACCCCAAACCGACACAGGUGGUCAGGUAGAGAAUACCAAGGCGCUUGAGAGAACUCGGGUGAAGGAACUAGGCAAAAUGGUGCCGUAACUUCGGGAGAAGGCACGCUGGUGUGUAGGUGAAGUCCCUGCGGAUGGAGCUGAGACCAGUCGAAGAUACCAGCUGGCUGCAACUGUUUAUUAAAAACACAGCACUGUGCAAACACGAAAGUGGACGUAUACGGUGUGACGCCUGCCCGGUGCCGGAAGGUUAAUUGAUGGGGUUAUCCGUAAGGAGAAGCUCUUGAUCGAAGCCCCGGUAAACGGCGGCCGUAACUAUAACGGUCCUAAGGUAGCGAAAUUCCUUGUCGGGUAAGUUCCGACCUGCACGAAUGGCGUAAUGAUGGCCAGGCUGUCUCCACCCGAGACUCAGUGAAAUUGAACUCGCUGUGAAGAUGCAGUGUACCCGCGGCAAGACGGAAAGACCCCGUGAACCUUUACUAUAGCUUGACACUGAACAUUGAGCCUUGAUGUGUAGGAUAGGUGGGAGGCUUUGAAGCGUGGACGCCAGUCUGCGUGGAGCCAACCUUGAAAUACCACCCUUUAAUGUUUGAUGUUCUAACGUUGGCCCCUUACCGGGGUUGCGGACAGUGUCUGGUGGGUAGUUUGACUGGGGCGGUCUCCUCCCAAAGCGUAACGGAGGAGCACGAAGGUUAGCUAAUCCUGGUCGGACAUCAGGAGGUUAGUGCAAUGGCAUAAGCUAGCUUGACUGCGAGCGUGACGGCGCGAGCAGGUGCGAAAGCAGGUCAUAGUGAUCCGGUGGUUCUGAAUGGAAGGGCCAUCGCUCAACGGAUAAAAGGUACUCCGGGGAUAACAGGCUGAUACCGCCCAAGAGUUCAUAUCGACGGCGGUGUUUGGCACCUCGAUGUCGGCUCAUCACAUCCUGGGGCUGAAGUAGGUCCCAAGGGUAUGGCUGUUCGCCAUUUAAAGUGGUACGCGAGCUGGGUUUAGAACGUCGUGAGACAGUUCGGUCCCUAUCUGCCGUGGGCGCUGGAGAAUUGAGGGGGGCUGCUCCUAGUACGAGAGGACCGGAGUGGACGCAUCACUGGUGUUCGGGUUGUCAUGCCAAUGGCACUGCCCGGUAGCUAAAUGCGGAAGAGAUAAGUGCUGAAAGCAUCUAAGCACGAAACUUGCCCCGAGAUGAGUUCUCCCUGAGACUUUAAGUCUCCUGAAGGAACGUU